rnacentral:rRNA from 1 species
AAUGAACGCUAGCGGCAGGCCUAACACAUGCAAGUCGAGGGGUAAAGGAAGCUUGCUUCCUUGAGACCGGCGCACGGGUGCGUAACGCGUAUGCAAUCUACCUUUUACAGAGGGAUAGCCCAGAGAAAUUUGGAUUAAUACCUCAUAGUAUUUUCGAAUGGCAUCAUUUGAUUAUUAAAGUUCCAACGGUAAAAGAUGAGCAUGCGUCCUAUUAGCUAGAUGGUAAGGUAACGGCUUACCAUGGCAACGAUAGGUAGGGGUCCUGAGAGGGAGAUCCCCCACACUGGUACUGAGACACGGACCAGACUCCUACGGGAGGCAGCAGUGAGGAAUAUUGGACAAUGGGCGCAAGCCUGAUCCAGCCAUGCCGCGUGCAGGAAGACGCAUCUAUGGUGUGUAAACUGCUUUUGUACGGGAAGAAACACUCCCUCGUGAGGGAGCUUGACGGUACCGUAAGAAUAAGGAUCGGCUAACUCCGUGCCAGCCGCCGCAGUAAUAC